rnacentral:rRNA from 1 species
UGGGGAAUAUUGCACAAUGGGGGAAACCCUGAUGCAGCGACGCCGCGUGGAGGAAGAAGGUCUUCGGAUUGUAAACUCCUGUUGUUGAGGAAGAUAAUGACGGUACUCAACAAGGAAGUGACGGCUAACUACGUGCCAGCAGCCGCGGUAAAACGUAGGUCACAAGCGUUGUCCGGAAUUACUGGGUGUAAAGGGAGCGCAGGCGGGAGAACAAGUUGGAAGUGAAAUCCAUGGGCUCAACCCAUGAACUGCUUUCAAAACUGUUUUCUUGAGUAGUGCAGAGGUAGGCGGAAUUCCCGGUGUAGCGGUGGAAUGCGUAGAUAUCGGGAGGAACACCAGUGGCGAAGGCGGCCUACUGGGCACCAACUGACGCUGAGGCUCGAAAGUGU